rnacentral:rRNA from 1 species
CACCGCGGUUAUACGAGAGGCCCGAGUUGAUAUUUUCCGGCGUAAAGAGUGGUUAUGGAGUACAUCAACUAAAGCCGAACCCCUUCAGGGCUGUCCCACGCGUAUGAAGAACAGAAGCCCAACCACGAAAGUGGCUUUAAAACCCCUGACCCCACGAAAACUAUGGCA